GACGAACGCUGGCGGCGUGCUUAACACAUGCAAGUCGAACGGAAAGGCCCUGCUUUUGUGGGGUGCUCGAGUGGCGAACGGGUGAGUAACACGUGAGUAACCUGCCCUUGACUUUGGGAUAACUUCAGGAAACUGGGGCUAAUACCGGAUAGGAGCUCCUGCUGCAUGGUGGGGGUUGGAAAGUUUCGGCGGUUGGGGAUGGACUCGCGGCUUAUCAGCUUGUUGGUGGGGUAGUGGCUUACCAAGGCUUUGACGGGUAGCCCGCCUGGGAGGGUGACCGGCCACAUUGGGACUGAGAUACGGCCCAGACUCCUACGGGAGGCAGCAGUGGGGAAUAUUGCACAAUGGGCGGAAGCCUGAUGCAGCAACGCCGCGUGCGGGAUGACGGCCUUCGGGUUGUAAACCGCUUUCGCCUGUGACGAAGCGUGAGUGACGGUAAUGGGUAAAGAAGCACCGGCUAACUACGUG
rnacentral:rRNA from 1 species